rnacentral:rRNA from 1 species
CUCGACUACAUGAAGCUGGAAUCGCUAGUAAUCGCGGAUCAGAAUGCCGCGGUGAAUACGUUCCCGGGUCUUGUACACACCGCCCGUCACACCAUGGGAGUCGAUAACGCCCGAAGUCAGUGACCCAACCUGUAAGGAGGGAGCUGCCGAAGGCGGGAUUGAUAACUGGGGUGAAGUCGUAACAAGGUAGC